rnacentral:tRNA from 1 species
AAGGAUUUAGCUUAAGUUUAAAGUGUUGGAUUUUUGAUCUUAUGAUAUGGUUUUUA